rnacentral:rRNA from 1 species
CAGCCGCCGCGGUAAUACGUAGGAUCCGAGCGUUAUCCGAAUUUACUGGGCGUAAAGCGCGUGUAGGCGGCCGGGUAAGUUGGACGUGAAAGCUCCUGGCUCAACUAGGAGAGGUCGUUCAAAACUGCCUGGCUAGAGGGCGACAGAGGGAGGUGGAAUUCCCGGUGUAGUGGUGAAAUGCGUAGAUAUCGGGAGGAACACCAGUGGCGAAGGCGGCCUCCUGGGUCGCCCCUGACGCUCAGACGCGAAAGCUAGGGGAGCAAACGGGAUUAGAUACCCCGGUAGUCCUAGCUGUAAACGAUGUGGACUUGGCGUUGGUGGGGUCAAAUCCAUCAGUGCCGUAGCUAACGCGAUAAGUCCACCGCCUGGGGACUACGGUCGCAAGGCUAAAACUCAAAGGAAUUGGCGGGGGCCCGCACAAGCAGCGGAGCGUGUGGUUUAAUUCGAUGCUACACGAAGAACCUUACCCGGGUUUGACAUCCAGGUGGUAGGGAACCGAAAGGCGACCGACCCUUCGGGGAGCCUGGACAGGUGCUGCAUGGCUGUCGUCAGCUCGUGUCGUGAGAUGUCCGGUUAAGUCCGGUAACGAGCGCAACCCUUGCUGUAUGUUAUACGUGUCAUACAGGACUGCCGGUUUAGUGCCGGAGGAAGGCGGGGAUGACGUCAAGUCAGCAUGGCCUUUAUAUCCGGGGCUACACACACGCUACAAUGGCCAGUACAACUGGUUGCAAAACCGCGAGGUGGAGCCAAUCCCCAAAACUGGUCUCAGUUCAGAUUGCAGGCUGCAACUCGCCUGCAUGAAGUCGGAGUUGCUAGUAACCGCGCGUCAGCUAUAGUGCGGUGAAUACGUUCUCGGGCCUUGCACACACCGCCCGUCACGUCAUGGAAGCUGACAACACCUGAAGCCGGUAUCCUAACCGCAAGGAUGGAGCCGUCGAAGGUGGGGUUGGUGACUGGGACGAAGUCGUAACAAGGUAACCGUA